CUAGCAGAUUGCAUCCUGUAUAUAAUCUCUGGUAAGAUCUAAGUUUAUUUCUUUUAUUUACCAGGUGUAUUACUCCUGUGGUGCAGUGGUGGAGUCAAUGGAAAGAGGCCUGAUUUUAUCACCAGGUUUUCCAAACAACUACUACCCAGGGACACACUGCGUUUGGCAAUUUUUCAUUCCCAUGAGAACCCAUCUUAUCUUGGAAAUUUUUGACUUUGACAUCUUUGAGAGCUCUAGUGAACCUCAACCCCCCUGGGAAGGCUUUUCAGCCCCCACUAAAACAGGAAAUAAGGACGUACCUUUUCCUGGGGAAAACCUGGACUUGGCUCUCCAUACUACAAAACCCUCUCUCCAGACCUGGAUGUCAAAGGUGGCUCAGAAUCUGAGCACAGGAGAUCAGUCAAAGGACCUUGCUAGUCAUGUGGAUGAACUUCCAGGAUCAGCCUCAAAAAAAGAUGAAGCUAAACAAGCAUCUGAAGAAAACCAGUCAAAGCAGAUGAAGGAACCCAAAGUGAUGACCAAGGCUCAGCCAGAAGAACUGCCACUCCCUGUGGCUGGUAGUGCCACAACACGGAGGCAAAAUACCAGUGGCCUGGAAAGAGAAGAAGAUUUGAAAGGGAAAAUAUUGCUUGCCCACCUUGCUGCUAGUGAGAGAGAUGAAGUUACAGUAGAGACCUGGACUCUUCCCACAACACUAUUGCCUGUGGAAAUCUCCUCCAGCCCACAGUCAGCAGUGGAUGUCUGUCCCCAUGACGUACUAUACGUUUCUGAUCUCAUCACAUUUUCCUCUCGCUUCUGUGGACCAAAUUCACCUUUAAACAAGACCAUGGUCUUUGGUUCAUCUCUGGAAAUGGUUGAGGUUAUCAUGGAACUGAUCACUACCACAGACCGGGGCCGAGGCUUUGCAAUGCUCUUUGAAUACAAGAACAUCACUGAACCUAACACUGUAGAUGCUGUGAGGCAGGAGAGAAAGGAAAACAUGAUGAUGCUGGCAAUUAUAACAGGGACCGUCUUCUUUGCACUUGCUUUGCUCUCUGCCCUCUGCAUAGCUUGGAGAAUGGGAUCCAGAACUCCGCCGUCGAUAUCAAUGAGCUCCAGCUGGUGGUGCCAAGUCGGGAGAAUGAAAACAACAACCACUCUGUCAGCCGGGAGCAGGCGGGACAAAAACCUAAAAAGAAGUGUCACAAGCCCAGCCUCUGUGUCUGACUGGCUGACUUCUAAUCACACAGCUGCAGGAGCAGAUGCUGUUGAGAAGGGAAAUGUCCAGCUGGAAAAUCAGUGUCCCAGACAACGCACGUGGAGUGCCCGCACUUUCCAUGACUUCCUGGCUCCAAUACCACAGCUACAGAAAAAAUGGUGUAGCUGGACCACCAACAGUCCCUUCACAAAGCUGGUUGACAGCAGUGGUUUUCCUACAGCUGCAAGAUCCCAAGGUGUCCCAACUAGAAAGGUAAUCUCAGCCACUGAGAUAGAGGGAGCAUCAGAGACCAUUUACUCUGAUUCAUCUGCCAGUAAUGCCUCAUAUCCCCUCACUCUGUCUGCACAAAGGCAGAGGAAGCUAAGUUCCUGCAAUUUGAAGAAAUCCAGGUUUGGGAAUCCUUAUUUUGGAUUUUUAGCCAGUUCCCCUGACAGCAAAAAUGUGAGGUCCCUGGAUCCCUCAAGACAUCUAGGGGCAGCAUCUUCAGUUAACAGCCAAAGCCCCAAAAAUCUUCUAGAGAGCUCCAAUCCACUGAAAAUCAACUUGGUCAAUGGUUCAAAAACAAAAGAGCCCAUGGUAGAAACAGAUAAAAACAAACCGGUUUUUGUUAUUUCGGAAGAAGGGGACGAUCAGCAGCCUCUGGUCCUAGCAGAACAUCUUAAUCAAUGUGGAGAUCAUCUGUCAGAGCAAAAUGCUGUGUAUGCUCCAGCUGUGCCAGAUAAACAGCCAGCGGUUCUGACUGUUGAGGGCAAGAAUUCUGCCAGCUUCACGUCAAAUCUUCCCCUUUGGGCAAAAUCCCCUAGUUUAUACAAAGGUCACGUGAAGGCCCCUAGCUCUUUUAGGGACCAGCAGAGCUCAUCAGCUGUAGAUGCUACUACUACUGAGACCCCUCAGAACUGUGAGACCCUAGCUGCUCCUACGCUAUGCCAAGCUUCAGUCCAGUGAUGCCCUCAGAAAGACUGAAACAUCGGUUCACAAAAACAGAGGCAACAGGGACGUGACCAGAGUGGAAGCUGUGCCAAGUAGAUGAGCGUGGCAGUCAUAGAUGGAUGCAACUCCGUUAAGAGCAGGCUCUGCUUCCCACCCGUUGGGACUGAGAUGACAAGGAUACGUACCAUAGCACAGCACAGAUGCCAUCUUCCCCCUGUGCUCAUUAACCUCAUCUCUAUUCUGCUGCAUGAAAUUUUGAUGUGGUUUAUACAAGCAAGCAUCCUCUGAAAAGGUACUUCAGACUGCAGAAAACCUUUUCUGGAAUGAGGAAUGAAAGUCAUCUGAGAUGGUUACAUCGUGGUUUAUAUCUGAAAUGUAAAUCAGUCCUCUGUUACUGUGGUAUCACUUGAGUCUUUCUGUUGGGAGCUAUGAGUUAAAUUCUGUUUAUAGCUACGCCUGUACAAUCCAAGCCUUGCCAAGCCAAGGGUAAGAAUUCAAUCAUGCAUGUUUGCGUACAGUUUUGUAAACUUAAUUUUAAGCAUUUCAUAACUUCUGCACUCUAGCACAAAGUUUACCAAGCAUUAGCAUCUCUAAUAUUAAAGACCAUGAUUAUCUCAUAUCCUAACUCUUUAGAGAAGUGUACAGACAAGCUGAGCAACUCAAUACUGGAUGCUAGUUCUAUAAAAGUCUCAUGUAGCUUUAUCUUUAUUAGAUCUACAUAGGCUUAAAACACCUCAGUCCACCACAUCUUUAAGUGGCUCCUCAUGGCAACAGAAGCAUGUGUACAAAAACACUGAAAUACUAGGAAUAGCCUUCAGCAUCCAACACUUGGAUACUUGCAGCUGCUCUUAUCCUAUAUCCACCAGCUAUUUAUUGCUGGUAACGCACAUUGACUAGAGAACUAUUUCCCUUCCUUUAGCAGGCAAGACUUAAAAGAUACAAUUAAGUGGGGCAAAAUUUGAGUGCUCACUUUCUUUAGAAACGAACUACUAAGUGGCUGUGCCUCCCUGAUUACAUAUCCAGGGCAUUCAACGGAAUACUGAACCAAAGGGAAGCCUGCUAGUCCUAUUGCCUUUACUAAAUCCAUCAGUAUUUUAAUUGCCUCCUGGUGAUAUUUUCCUAUCUUUGCAAGAGACUCCUGCAUGUUCAUCCCCCAACUUAGCAAAAAAACCCCAACCAACUUUCUUAAAUGAAAUACAUUCCCUAAGAAGCUGUAUUUUGCAGCUGACACAGUACAUUGUUUUAAAGCAAUGUUAUAUCAUAAAACAGGUGUCAGAAGGGAAUCUUCCAUACAAGUCUUCCCCUAUAUUAGCUACAGCAUGCAUCGAGUUAUCUUAAUCCUUCUAUGUGAAGGCAUUUCGGUCUGAUUCCUGAAAUAUUUAGCUGAAUUAUUUAUGAUUUCACCUGCUAUUACAGCUUCCAUUUGCCACUUAUUAAUGUCUAGGAUAGGCAACACAAGGUUGUAGGUUUUGCCUUUAUAUUUUGUGUGUAUGUUUACGUGUCUACGUAGACAUAGAAGCCUUGCAUCUGGUAGUGGUGGAAGCAAAAACAUAUAUGCCCUUUAACAGUUGACUCAAACACGUACAGCAAACAAGUCUCCAUAUUUGUUAUUACCAGACUGGAUUGAGUAGUUCUGAAGCACAGAAGUCUGGCUCCAAGUUGGGGUUUUUUUGUUGUUGUUUUUGCUGUUUUUAAAUUAAUGCUACACGAUUCAAAGGGAAGAGUUAAUAUAUUUAUGAUUUAAGAAAAUAUUUAGAAUAGUCUUUAGUACUCUAAUAACAACUUCCAUUACAUUAAAUUCAUAUACAUUGUAAUUCAGUCAGUGUUCUGUUACUUACUACAUUUCUAAUGAUUGAAGUACUAAAAGUCUACUUCUGAAAAGUACUUGUGUUCAGUUAUUGACAAUAGCUAUAUUUGAAGGGCUGGAAAAAGGGGCUUUUUCAAUAAAAGUGUGUUUAACUAUUCA
ensembl:lncRNA